rnacentral:rRNA from 1 species
UGAGUACGAGCGGCCACGGCCGCGAAGUGGAUGAUGUCAAGCUUCCAAGAAAAGCCCUAUACCCGUUAAGGCAUGAUGGCCUGUACCCGAAACCGACACAGGUGGGGUGGUAGAGAAUACCGAGGGGCGCGAGGUAACUCUCUCUAAGGAACUCGGCAAAAUGGCCCCGUAACUUCGGGAGAAGGGGUGCCACCGCGAGGUGGUCGCAGUGAAGAGGCCCAGGCGACUGUUUACCAAAAACACAGGUCUCCGCUAAGUCGCAAGACGAUGUAUGGGGGCUGACGCCUGCCCAGUGCCGGAAGGUUAAGGAAGCUGGUCAGCGCAAGCGAAGCUGGCGACUGAAGCCCCGGUGAACGGCGGCCGUAACUAUAACGGUCCUAAGGUAGCGAAAUUCCUUGUCGGGUAAGUUCCGACCCGCACGAAAGGCGUAACGAUCUGGGCGCUGUCUCGGAGAGAGGCUCGGCGAAAUAGAAUUGUCUGUGAAGAUGCGGACUACGUGCACCCGGACAGAAAGACCCUAUGAAGCUUUACUGUAGCUUGGUAUUGUGCUCGGGCUCGGAAUGCGCAGGAUAGGUGGGAGGUUUUGAUCCAUAGCUUGCGGGUGAUGGUGAGCCACUGGUGAGAUACCACUCUUUCCGAGCUAGAGUUCUAACAGCAACCCGUUAUCCGGGUGCUGGACAGUAUCAGGUGGGCAGUUUGACUGGGGCGGUCGCCUCCUAAAAGGUAACGGAGGCGCGCAAAGGUCUGCUCAGGCUGGUUGGAAAUCAGCCGACGAGUGUAAAAGCAGAAGCAGGCUUGACUGUGAGACCUACAAGUCGAACAGGGAGGAAACUCGGCUUUAGUGAUCCGACGGUUCUGCGUGGAAGGGCCGUCGCUCAACGGAUAAAAGUUACUCUAGGAUAACAGGCUGAUCUCCCCCAAGAGUUCACAUCGACGGGGAGGUUUGGCACCUCGAUGUCGGCUCAUCGCAACCUGGGGCUGAAGUCGGUCCCAAGGGUUGGGCUGUUCGCCCAUUAAAGCGGUACGCGAGCUGGGUUCAGAACGUCGUGAGACAGUUCGGUCCAUAUCCGGUGCACGCGCAGGAAUAUUGAGAGGAUUUCUCCCUAGUACGAGAGGACCGGGAGGAACGCACCUCUGGUGUGCCAGUUAUCGUGCCAACGGUAAACGCUGGGUAGCCAUGUGCGGAGUGGAUAACCGCUGAAAGCAUCUAAGUGGGAAGCCCACCUCAAGAUGAGUAUUCCCAUGGGGUAACCCAGUAAGGUCACGGGAAGAACACCCGUUGAUAGGCUCUACGUGGAAGCGCAGUAAUGUGUGAAGCGGAGGAGUACUAAUAGACCGAGGGCUUGAC